rnacentral:lncRNA from 1 species
GUGGAAUAUUAGGUGAUUUCUUCUGUACUCAACUGCAUUUUUCUUAACAUGGAUUACGUUAAGAAGAAAUACAAGCUAACAACAGAUCCAGAUCCAAAGAACUAUUCAGUUAGCUUACAAAUGCAAUUGAAACACAUAAAAAUUCCCAUUGACAGAACUGAGAUAUGUAAAUUUCAUGUUAGCCUUGGAUAGAGUAUUCAUGCCUUGGUGUAAUUAUCCCUCCUAUGGAGUGCAGGUAAAAUAACUGUCUUAAUCAAUAGAAUACAGCAAAAGUGACGGGAUGUCACUUCUGUGAUUAUGUUACAGAAGAUUGUGAUUGUCAUCUUGCUAGCAGAUUCAUUCUGUCUCUUCCUUCCUCCUUCCUCCCACUUUUGCUGGCUUUGAUGAAACAAGCUGCCAUGUUGGAGAGGCACAUAUAGCAAGGAAUUGAGAGUGUUCGCCAGCCAACAGCCAGUGAGGAACUCAGGCCCUCAGUCUAAUAGCCCUCGAGGAAUUGAAUCCUGCCAAAACAACAAAGGGCUAUCUAAAACUGAGAUCGGUUCCAGCCUCUGUCUGAAUUGAAGGUAGAAGGUAGACAUGUGACCCAGG